CCUGCUUCUAAAGGCAUUUCAGGUGUGGCUGCUGUGUCACAUGUGCAUCAGUAGGUGACAGAGAGGAGAGAGGCUAUGUCUAUGCUCAGUGGUCUGACCAGUGAACAUUUGAAUGAUUAGUAGCCUAAUCUU